CUACGGGUCGCAGCAGUGAGGAAUAUUGGUCAAUGGGCGCAAGCCUGAACCAGCCAUCCCGCGUGCAGGAUGACAGCCCUAGAGGUUGUAAACUGCUUUUGUAUAGGAAGAAUAAGAGCUACGUGUAGCUUGAUGACUGUACUAUACGAAUAAGCACCGGCUAACUCCGUGCCAGCAGCCGCGGUAAUUCGGAGGGUGCAAGCGUUAUCCGGAUUUAUUAGGUUUAAAGGGUGCGUAGGCGGGAUCUUAAGUCAGUGGUAAAAGGCAUUAGCUUAACUAAUGUAAGCCAUUGAAACUGGGAUUCUUGAGUUCGGUGGAGGUAGGCGGAAUGUGUUGUGUAGCGGUGAAAUGCAUAGAUAUAACACAGAACACCGAUUGCGAAGGCAGCUUACUAAGCCGUUACUGACGCUGAUGCACGAAAGCGUGGGUAUCAAACAGGAUUAGAUACCCCCGUAGUC
rnacentral:rRNA from 1 species